rnacentral:rRNA from 1 species
UACGAAGGGGGGCUAGCGUUGCUCGGAAUCACUGGGCGUAAAGGGUGCGUAGGCGGGUUUUUAAGUCAGGGGUGAAAUCCUGGAGCUCAACUCCAGAACUGCCUUUGAUACUGAAGAUCUUGAGUCCGGGAGAGGUGAGUGGAACUGCGAGUGUAGAGGUGAAAUUCGUAGAUAUUCGCAAGAACACCAGUGGCGAAGGCGGCUCACUGGCCCGGUACUGACGCUGGAGGUGACGAAAGCGGUGGGGAGCAAACAGGG